GGCUGCGGUGGGGGAAGCCGCCUCCUCCCAGGGCCUGCCUGGGCGGCCGCCUCCGCUAUGCCGCUGCUCGUCGAGGGGCGGCGAGUGAGGCUGCCGCAGUCAGCCGGGGACCUCGUCCGAGCCCAUCCGCCUUUGGAGGAAAGAGCCAGACUUCUCAGAGGUCAGUGUGUUCAACAAGUGGGACCCCAGGGCCUUCUCUAUGUUCAGCAAAGAGAGCUUGCAGUGACCUCCCCAAAGGAUGGCUCCAUCUCCAUUCUGGGUUCUGAUGAUGCCACUACUUGUCACAUUGUGGUCCUGAGGCACACAGGUAAUGGGGCCACCUGCUUGACACAUUGUGACGGAACCGACACCAAAGCUGAGGUCCCCUUGAUCAUGAACUCCAUAAAAUCCUUUUCUGACCACGCUCAAUGUGGAAGGCUGGAAGUGCACCUCGUUGGAGGCUUCAGUGACGACAGGCAGUUGUCACAAAAACUCACUCAUCAACUUCUUAGUGAAUUUGACAGGCAAGAAGAUGACAUUCACUUAGUGACAUUAUGUGUGACAGAAUUAAAUGACCGGGAAGAAAACGAAAACCACUUUCCAAUAAUAUAUGGCAUUGCUGUCAACAUUAAGACUGCAGAGAUUUACAGAGCCUCCUUUCAAGAUCGGGGUCCGGAGGAGCAGCUGCGUGCUGCGCGAACUUUAGCAGGAGGACCAAUAGCAGACCCCAUGUUAGCUGAAAUGGGGAAAAACUUGAAGGAGGCCAUGAAGAUGCUGGAGGACAGUCAGAGAAGAACAGAAGAGGAAAAUGGAAAGAAGCUCAUAUCCGGAGAUAUUCCAGGCCCACUCCAGGGCAGGUAUGAUCUCGUGAAACCUUGAGAGAAACUGAAUGGCGAAUGAAACUUUAUUGUUCCUGUUUCACACAGAAGAAAACUGAGGUGGUGAAGCUCUCUAUUGUCCUGACCCCACAGUUCCUGUCCCAUGACCAGGGCCAGCUCACCAAGGAGCUGCAGCAGCACGUAAAGUCAGUGACAUGCCCAUGCCAGUACCUGAGGAAGGUGAGUGAGUGCAGACAGAUGGUGCCUGGUGCCCUUGAACAGUCAGUGACAUCCCCCAUGCGAGUACCUGAGGAAGGUGAGUGAGUGCAGACAGGUGGGGCCUGGUGCCCUUGAGCACUUCCUGGGUCUCAGCUGCCACACGUCUCAUAGCGGGCGUUGCUUGGGGAAGCUUACACAGUCACAGUACUGGCUUCUUCUUCUUUUUCCUUCCAUACAAGUGGCUUAGGGAUGGGAUAGAGUAGUUGACUUAUUUGGAUAAAAACCACUAUCUUCUGUCAGAAACUCAAAAGGAAUCAUUGCUGGCAUGUUAGCCUAAAGAAAAACAACCAGACAAGUGCCCAGUGAUACUUAAAAAUGUUAUUUAUUAUCUUGCCAAAUUUAGGCUGGGCAUGGUGGCUCAUGCCUGUAAUCCCAGCACUUUGGGAGGCUGAGGCAGGUGGAUCACCUGAGGCCAGGAGUUCGAGACCAGCCUGACCAACAUGGCAAAACCUCAUCCCUACUAAAAAUACAAAAAUUAGCCGGGCAUGGUGGUGUGAGCCUGUAGUCCCAGCUACUCAGGAGGCUGAGACAGGAGAAUUGCUUAGACUCAGGAGGUGGAGGUUGUAGUGAGCCGAGUUCAUGCCAUCGCACUCCAGACUGUGCGACAGAGCGAGACUCUGUCAAAAAAAAAAAAAAAAAAAAAAAUUAUCCUGCAAAAUUUGAAAAGGAAAUCCAAAUCAACAGCUUCUAAACUAUUUUUUAACAUGACUCAUAAUAAGAAAUACAUUCUGUAUUUACAUAUAUAUGUUCUAUAUUUUUGAAGAAAAGAAUUAACCAAAUCAUAUUUAUUUUACAUGUAAUACAUAUUUUUUAUUUUCCUUCAUUUGUUUUGAAUGCUCUGUGCAAUCUACAAAAAGUCCAAUAGUA